rnacentral:rRNA from 1 species
UACAGAGGGUGCGAGCGUUAAUCGGAAUUACUGGGCGUAAAGCGCACGUAGGCGGCUUGGUAUGUCGGGUGUGAAAUCCCCGGGCUCAACCUGGGAACUGCAUUCGAGACUGCAUUGCUAGAGUAUGGGAGAGGGAAGUGGAAUUUCCGGUGUAGCGGUGAAAUGCGUAGAUAUCGGAAGGAACAUCAGUGGCGAAAGCGACUUCCUGGACCAAUACUGACGCUCAUGUGCGAAAGCGUGGGGAGCAAACAGG